rnacentral:lncRNA from 1 species
AGGGAAGCUAAACUCAGACAGCAGCUGCGGCUGCAGAAAAGUCCACCCCCUGCAGAUCGAUGCCGAUGACCAUUGAUGGUGACCUCCACUAUCAGCCCUGUGGCCUGCAACUCUGCAGAUCAUGACACCAUCUCCAUUCUGCAUGGGUGUGAGUGGGGCCUGGGACUGCAGGCCACGCCUCCAGAGAGUAGACUGCCCACUUGGGUGCACCAGAAGUGCUGAGCACUGGACCCUCAAGGCUUCCUCUGUAGGCUGGCACUGAUACCCACCUCCCAGGGACUGUGAAGGUUGGCUGAACUGUUCCCAGUGUUGCCUCCAACGGGUAGAUCCAGAAUUCUGGAACUCGUGUUGCUUGCACCACAAAGGCAAAUGAUUAGAGACAAGCGUGAGGCUUUCCAUUAGGUUUUGUUCAGAGAGCUGGCCAUCAGCACGUAAACAUGCUUUGGAAAAUGCUUCACAUCUCACUUCCAGCCAGAAGAUUAUAUGGAGUCACAGGGACAGAGACAGUCAGUCAUUCCAAAGUUCAGGAUUGCCCCACUCUGGUCAGGUGAUGUGAUUCUUAAAAUAAACCUUUCCUCCCC